rnacentral:rRNA from 1 species
AUUGAACGCUGGCGGCAUGCUUUACACAUGCAAGUCGAACGGUAACAGGUUAAGCUGACGAGUGGCGAACGGGUGAGUAAUGCAUCGGAACGUGCCCGGUCGUGGGGGAUAACGCAGCGAAAGUUGCGCUAAUACCGCAUACGAUCUGAGGAUGAAAGCGGGGGACCGUAAGGCCUCGCGCGAUCGGAGCGGCCGAUGUCAGAUUAGGUAGUUGGUGGGGUAAAGGCCCACCAAGCCAACGAUCUGUAGCUGGUCUGAGAGGACGACCAGCCACACUGGGACGGAGACCAGGCCCAGACUCCUACGGGAGGCAGCAGUGGGGAAUUUUGGACAAUGGGCGAAAGCCUGAUCCAGCAAUGCCGCGUGCAGGAAGAAGGCCUUCGGGUUGUAAACUGCUUUUGUACGGAGCGAAAAGGUCUCCUCUAAUACAGGGGGCUCAUGACGGUACCGUAAGAAUAAGCACCGGCUAACUACGUGCCAGCCGCCGCCGUAA